GACGAACGCUGGCGGCGUGCCUAAUACAUGCAAGUAGAACGCUGAAGAGAGGAGCUUGCUCUUCUUGGAUGAGUUGCGAACGGGUGAGUAACGCGUAGGUAACCUGCCUUGUAGCGGGGGAUAACUAUUGGAAACGAUAGCUAAUACCGCAUAACAAUGGAUGACACAUGUCAUUUAUUUGAAAGGGGCAAUUGCUCCACUACAAGAUGGACCUGCGUUGUAUUAGCUAGUAGGUGAGGUAAUGGCUCACCUAGGCGACGAUACAUAGCCGACCUGAGAGGGUGAUCGGCCACACUGGGACUGAGACACGGCCCAGACUCCUACGGGAGGCAGCAGUAGGGAAUCUUCGGCAAUGGGGGCAACCCUGACCGAGCAACGCCGCGUGAGUGAAGAAGGUUUUCGGAUCGUAAAGCUCUGUUGUAAGUCAAGAACGGGUGUGAGAGUGGAAAGUUCACACUGUGACGGUAGCUUACCAGAAAGGGACGGCUAAUUACGUGCCAGCAGCCGCGGUAAUACGUAGGUCCCGAGCGUUGUCCGGAUUUAUUGGGCGUAAAGCGAGCGCAGGCGGUUUGACAAGUCUGAAGUUAAAGGCUGUGGCUCAACCAUAGUUCGCUUUGGAAACUGUCAAACUUGAGUGCAGAAGGGGAGAGUGGAAUUCCAUGUGUAGCGGUGAAAUGCGUAGAUAUAUGGAGGAACACCGGUGGCGAAAGCGGCUCUCUGGUCUGUAACUGACGCUGAGGCUCGAAAGCGUGGGGAGCGAACAGGAUUAGAUACCCUGGUAGUCCGCGCCGUAAACGAUGAGUGCUAGGUGUUGGAUCCUUUCCGGGAUUCAGUGCCGCAGCUAACGCAUUAAGCACUCCGCCUGGGGAGUACGACCGCAAGGUUGAAACUCAAAGGAAUUGACGGGGGCCCGCACAAGCGGUGGAGCAUGUGGUUUAAUUCGAAGCAACGCGAAGAACCUUACCAGGUCUUGACAUCCCGAUGCUAUUUCUAGAGAUAGAAAGUUACUUCGGUACAUCGGUGACAGGUGGUGCAUGGUUGUCGUCAGCUCGUGUCGUGAGAUGUUGGGUUAAGUCCCGCAACGAGCGCAACCCCUAUUGUUAGUUGCCAUCAUUCAGUUGGGCACUCUAGCGAGACUGCCGGUAAUAAACCGGAGGAAGGUGGGGAUGACGUCAAAUCAUCAUGCCCCUUAUGACCUGGGCUACACACGUGCUACAAUGGUUGGUACAACGAGUUGCGAGUCGGUGACGGCGAGCUAAUCUCUUAAAGCCAAUCUCAGUUCGGAUUGUAGGCUGCAACUCGCCUACAUGAAGUCGGAAUCGCUAGUAAUCGCGGAUCAGCACGCCGCGGUGAAUACGUUCCCGGGCCU
rnacentral:rRNA from 1 species